GAUGAACGCUGGCGGCGUGCCUAAUACAUGCAAAUCGAGCGAACGGACGAGAAGCUUGCUUCUCUGAUGUUAGCGGCGGACGGGUGAGUAACACGUGGAUAACCUACCUAUAAGACUGGGAUAACUUCGGGAAACCGGAGCUAAUACCGGAUAAUAUUUUGAACCGCAUGGUUCAAAAGUGAAAGACGGUCUUGCUGUCACUUAUAGAUGGAUCCGCGCUGCAUUAGCUAGUUGGUAAGGUAACGGCUUACCAAGGCAACGAUGCAUAGCCGACCUGAGAGGGUGAUCGGCCACACUGGAACUGAGACACGGUCCAGACUCCUACGGGAGGCAGCAGUAGGGAAUCUUCCGCAAUGGGCGAAAGCCUGACGGAGCAACGCCGCGUGAGUGAUGAAGGUCUUCGGAUCGUAAAACUCUGUUAUUAGGGAAGAACAUAUGUGUAAGUAACUGUGCACAUCUUGACGGUACCUAAUCAGAAAGCCACGGCUAACUACGU
rnacentral:rRNA from 1 species